rnacentral:rRNA from 1 species
GAGGAAUUUUCCGCAAUGGGCGAAAGCCUGACGGAGCAAUACCGCGUGGAGGACGAAAGCCUAUGGGUUGUAAACUCCUUUUCUUAGAAAAGAAGUUCUGACGGUAUCUAAAGAAUAAGCAUCGGCUAACUCCGUGCCAGCAGCCGCGGUAAUACGGGGGAUGCAAGCGUUAUCCGGAAUUAUUGGGUGUAAAGCGUCUGUAGGUUGCUUCUUUAAGUCAGUUGUUAAAUUUCAAAACUCAACUUUGAUAACAGCAACUGAAACUAAAAAGCUAGAGUCGAGUAGAGGCAGAAGGAACUCCGAGUGUAGCGGUGAAAUGCGUAGAUAUUCGGAAGAACACCGAUGGCGAA